rnacentral:miRNA from 1 species
UUAAAGCUUAGAUUAAACGUCU